CUCUAGAUGGCUCAGAGGUUAAAGCGUCUGCCUGAAGUGCGGAAGACCUGGGUUCAAUCCCUGGGUUCGAAG
rnacentral:tRNA from 1 species